ACAGUUAAAAGACAGAAAGAACAAGCAUGCAUGUUCUUACUGGUGAUUGUCUUUGAGUGAAGAAGGGAUUUCAGUGGUCCUCUUGAGAGGGAUGAGCAAGGAGUGGAGCUGGACCCCCAGUUGGCAUCCAUAACAGCCCAACAAGUGGCCAGGGAUCUGCUCUGCUAAGGCAGCUUUUUUCCAAGCUGACUGCUAAGGACUGGGUUUCUGGGGAGCAGAAGAGCUGCGCUCUCACCAAGUUUGCUGUGGAGAUGAGAUCAUAUGGAAGUGGCCAGCAGAAACAUAGAAGAGAGCAUGAGAUCUACUAUGCCCAGAAGGCCUCUGAAACCUCCGAAAUUUCUUCUCUCUGUAAGGCCAGCAAGUUCAUCCUUAAGAAGGCAGAGAAGAAUGCCCAGAUGGGAGAUAUACUCAGAAGUGACCAGUUUGGAUGUAAAGUGUAAUCAUUUAUGAUGAGAGGACAUGAUUUCCACCUAGGAUGCCAGUCUCUUACAGAAGGUCUUCAGUAGGUGGUUCAGGUUUAGAAUACAGUUAGCAAUCUGUUCAAAAACAUGAAGCUAAAAAUAAAAGAAGAGGCGAUUAAGGUUACAUUCAGUUUCUGCUCCUGUCUGCACGUACUACAACAUGCUCCCUCCAGCCUUUCAGUGCCACAUCAAGGGUCUCUGUGGGGAAUCUCAAAUGGCAACAGUGACUGUUAAUAUUUCCACUAGUUACUAAUGUCUUCAGCAACAUGGCUGAACCAUUUCAGCUUUCCACUCAGUAUUCGACGUUUAAAACUUCCUGGAUCACGUCCUUCAUCUCCAGUUUUCUUUACAGAAGUUAGAUGGACCAUGGUAUCAAAAGACCAAAACGCCUGACCAAAACCCCUUUCACUUCCUAUAUUAACAAUAAAGAAG
rnacentral:lncRNA from 7 species